AUACGUAGGGGGCGAGCGUUGUCCGGAAUGAUUGGGCGUAAAGGGCGCGUAGGCGGCCCGGUAAGUCUGGAGUGAAAGUCCUGUUUUUAAGAUGGGAAUUGCUUUGGAUACUGUCGGGCUUGAGUGCAGGAGAGGUAAGUGGAAUUCCCAGUGUAGCGGUGAAAUGCGUAGAGAUCGGGAGGAACACCAGUGGCGUAGGCGACUUACUGGACUGUAACUGACGCUGAGGCGCGAAAGUGUGGGGAGCAAACAGGAUUAGAUACCCUGGUAGUCCACACUGUAAACGAUGAAUGCUAGGUGUAGGGGGUAUCGACCCCUUCUGUGCCGCAGUCAACACAAUAAGCAUUCCGCCUGGGGAGUACGGCCGCAAGGUUGAAACUCAAAGGAAUUGACGGGG
rnacentral:rRNA from 1 species